CGGGGAAGCAUGCCGUAGUCAUUACUCUAACCUUUCGAGGAGGAGGGUGCCGAAGGCAGGGCUGAUGACUGGGGUGAAGUCGUAACAAGGUAGCCGUACCGGAAGGUGUGGCUGGAUCACCUCCUUUU
rnacentral:rRNA from 1 species